rnacentral:rRNA from 1 species
CACUUUGUCUUUAUGGCAAAUGUGAGAUGCAGUGUAUGGAAUGUCAAAUUUCUAGUAUGAGAAAUUAACGAUUUAAGUCCUUCUUAAAUGAGGCCAUUUACCCAAAGAGGGUGCCAGGCCCGUAUAACGUUAAUGAUUACUAGAUGGCAUUUCCAAAGAGUCGUGUUGCUUGAUAGUGCAGCACUAAGUUGGUGGUAAACUCCAUCUAAAACUAAAUAUAACCAUGAGACCGAUAGUAAACAAGUACCGUGAGGGAAAGUUGAAAAGAACUCUGAAUAGAGAGUUAAAUAGUACGUGAAACUGCUUAGAGGUUAAGCCCGAUGAACCUGAAUAUCCAUUAUAGAAAAUUCAUCAUUAUGAUUUUAAUAUUUAUAAUAUUAUAAUAAUGGUGUGCAUUUUUUCUAUAACGGACAUUGUAAUCUAUUAACAUAUCCCAAAUUUAUCAUAAGAUCAAUGAUGCGUAAGUUUAUUCAAAUUAUUUUGCUUGCAAUUUAACAUAGAAUAAAUGCUCUUGAUUUGAUAAAGUGUUGAUAGAUUUAUUAUAUAUAGUGCUUAAAUAUUUAUAUUUUAUAAUAGCAUAUUAAUCAUUGAUUUUUAUGUUUAUUAUAUGCACUUAUAUGAUUAACAAUGCGAAAGAUUCAGGAUACCUUCGGGACCCGUCUUGAAACACGGACCAAGGAGUCUAACAUAUUUGCAAGUUAUUGGGUAUUAAAACCUAAUAGCGAAAUUAACAUAACUUUAAUGGGAUUAGUUUUUAGAUUAUUUUAUAGUCUAUUAAUUCAAUCCCGGGGCGUUCUAAUUGGUUAUGUAUAAUAAUAUUUAUAUUAUUUAUACCUCUAACUAGAGCGUACCUUG